CUAAUCCCGGAAUUCCGGGAAUUGACAGUUUUGAGCUCCAAAUUUGAACUGGGUUGGGGCCUAUAAAUACCCCACCCAUUCAGCACUGAAAGAGCACAGAAUACACACCGAAAUCUUGAUCUUGUUCUGUGAUUUUUAGAGCUCAAAAUUAUUGUAAAGGCCAAAAGUUCUUCUCCCUCUUUUCUUCCAAGUUCUGAGCUGUAAAGAGAGGAGAGAAAAAUCUGUAAGGGUUGUCUCCUAAGCCCGUCAAAAGGAGUGAAACUGUAAAAGGGUGGUUGGCCUUCGCCUAUUGAAGGAAGGCCUCUAGUUGACGUCGGUGACCUCGUCGGUGGAGGAAGCCAAAAGUGGAGUAGGUCAAGAUUGACCGAACCACUCUAAAUCUCGGUUUGCAUUUACUUUGAG
rnacentral:lncRNA from 1 species